rnacentral:lncRNA from 1 species
AUGGGAAUAAAGAUUCAAUGUCCUCGAUUUUUUUUUUUUUGACAUUGCCAUUAACAACCUGCUGGAAGAGUUGUCUUUGAAUUAUUUUCUGAUGUGUGCCCCAAAACACGUGAGAAGUUUAGUUGUCUUUGUACAGGUGAAAGGGGGACAGGGAAAUCAACUCAGAGCCAUUACAUUGUAAGAGUUGUCUCUUUCAGAGUUGUCAAGGAUUUUAUGGUUUAAGGUGCUGACUUCAGUGAAGGAAAUGGACGAGGAGGGGAAUCUAUCUAAGAAGAAUUUUUUGAAGAUGAGAAUUUUGCUGUUAAAAACAACAAAGAAUUUCUCUUGUCAAUGGCCAACAGAAGGAAGGAUACAAAUGGUUUACAGUUCUUCAUAACAAUGAAACCAACUCUUCAUUUAGAUGGGCAUCAUGUUGUUUUUGGGCAAGUAAUCUCUAGCCAAGAAGUUGUGAGAGAGAUAGAAAACCACAAGAUGGAUGCCGCUAGCAAAGCAUUUACAGAGGUACAGAUACUCAGUUGUGGAGAGCUGAUUCCCAAAUCUAAAGUUAAGAAAGAAGAAAAGAAAAUGUAUAAAUCAUCAUCAUCUUCCUCCUCAUGAUCUAGUGACUAAGAUAGCUCAAAUGAUUCUCAGUUCUCACCUGAUUCCUGUGAUUCCGAAAAUGCUUCUGAAGAGAAAUCAAAGAAAAGAGGAAAAAACUUAGGAAAAAUUCCCAAAAACACAAGAAGGAAAAGAAGAAGUGAAAGAAAAGCAAGAAGAGUGAAUCUAGUAAGAGUGAAGCUGAAAAUCUUAGAGCACAACCCCAGUCUACUGUCCAUCCAGAAAAGAUCCCUCCUAUACCUGAAAAUAGAUUUCCUGAUGAGAAAAAGUCCUCCUAUAGCUGAUGCAAUGGAAAGGAAAAGCCAGAGAGAGAGAGAAAAAGAGAAAGAGAAUGUAAUCUAUCUAACUCCCAGCCUGCUUCAUACCAGAGACGACUUUUAGUUACUAGAUCUGGCAGGAGAAUUAAAGGAAGAGGAUCAAGGUGCUAUCAAACUCCUUCCAGAUCCAGAUCAAGGGAUUGUUUCAGACUUAGUGAGACUCCUGCACAUUGGAGGCAAGAGAUGCCGAGAGCUCAAAGGAUGAGGGUAUCAAGUGGUGAAAGAUGGAUCAAAGGGGAUAAGAGUGAGUUGAAUGAAAUAAAAGAAAAUCAGAGAAGUCUAGUUAGAGUAAAAGAGAGAAAAAUAACUAACCACAGGAAUGUAUCUGAGAGUCCAAACAGAAAAAAUGAAAAGGAAAAGAAAGUUAAAGACUGUAAAUCUAACAGCAAAGAGAGACAUCUGAAGAAAUUCAAAAAAAGAUGAUAAAUACAAUACGAACAAAGUGAAGAAAAGGGCCAAAUCUAAAAUUAAGAGUAAGAGCAAAAAGAAAUCAAAGAGUAAAGAAGGAGAUUCAAGACAUAAUAGACAUGAAGAAAAGAGGAUGAGGUCAAGGAGCAAAGGAAGGGAUCAUGAGAAUGUUAAAGAAAAAGAAAAGGAGCUUGAUUCAAAAGGAAACGAUCAGGAAAGGGGUAGAAGUAAAGAGAAGUCUAAACAGUUAGAAUCAAAGAGUAAUGAGCAUGAUCAUAGUAAAACUAAGGAAAAGGAUAGAUGUGCACAAUCCAGGAGUAGAGAAUGUGAUAUAACUGAAGGUAAACACAGUUAUAAUAGCAGAACAGAACAGCAAAGCAGAAGUAGGGACAGAAGCAGAAGAGUGUGAUCAAGAAGCCAUGACAGAGAUUGCAGCAGAAGCAAGGAGCACCAUAGAUACAGAGGAAAGGAAUACAGGAGGAGAGGACAGUCACAAAGCCGAGGGAGAAGAACACCACCAGGAAGAUCAAGAAGUAGAGAUAGGGGUAGAAGGAGGAGAGACUCACGGAGCUCAGAGACAGAAGAAAGUAAAAACAGAAACAAAGAAAAACACAGAAACCAAGAAAGUAAGAGUUCACACAGAAAGAAAAUUCUGAGAGUGAGAAAAGAAUGUACUGUAAAAGUCAUGAUCAUAAUAGCUCAAAUAAUAGCAGGGGAAAAAAAGGCUGAUAUAGAUAAAAGUCUCUUCUCAAAAAUAAAACAAAGCAGUCAGAACAAUGAAUUAAAGUCCUCCACAUUGAAAAAUAAGGAGGAUGAGAAGAUCAGAUCCUCAGUGGAAAAAGAAAACCAAGAAUCAAAGGGUCAAGAAAGUGACCAUGUACGUGAAAGAAAAAAAAUUUGAUUAUGAAUCAAGCCCUGAAACAUAUGAAGACAAAAGUGGA